rnacentral:rRNA from 1 species
UGGGGAAUAUUGCACAAUGGGCGCAAGCCUGAUGCAGCAACGCCGCGUGAACGAUGAAGGUCUUCGGAUCGUAAAGUUCUGUUGCAGGGGAAGAUAAUGACGGUACCCUGUGAGGAAGCCCCGGCUAACUACGUGCCAGCAGCCGCGGUAAUACGUAGGGGGCUAGCGUUAUCCGGAUUUACUGGGCGUAAAGGGUGCGUAGGUGGUCCUUCAAGUCGGUGGUUAAAGGCUACGGCUCAACCGUAGUAAGCCGCCGAAACUGGAGGACUUGAGUGCAGGAGAGGAAAGUGGAAUUCCCAGUGUAGCGGUGAAAUGCGUAGAUAUUGGGAGGAAAACCAGUAGCGAAGGCGGCUUUCUGGACUGCAACUGACACUGAGGCACGAAAGCGUGGGUAGCAAACAGG